UUUCAAUUAUAAGUAGUAGUGCCGCAGGUAACCAAUCAGAAUGGGUUUACCUACUGCCUUCUGCUUAAAAUUGAAA
rnacentral:pre_miRNA from 1 species